rnacentral:rRNA from 1 species
UACAGAGGUCUCAAGCGUUGUUCGGAUUCAUUGGGCGUAAAGGGUGCGUAGGCGGCGCGGUAAGUCGGGUGUGAAAUCUUGGAGCUUAACUCCGAAACUGCAUUCGAUACUGGCGUGCUUGAGGACUGGAGAGGAGACUGGAAUUUACGGUGUAGCAGUGAAAUGCGUAGAUAUCGUAAGGAAGACCAGUGGCGAAGGCGGGUCUCUGGACAGUUCCUGACGCUCAGGCACGAAAGCGUGGGGAGCAAAAGGG